UUUUGUUCUAAUUUCCUAAUGACAAUUCAACCAAGCUCCACUCAUUCCUUGGCUUGUUUAUGUUAAAGAGGAAGUAGGAAUUUGUUUUUAUGUGAAGUACCAUAUGAUCGAUCCUGUAGGUAGCCGUUUGACAUAAAGGGAUAAACCAGAAUUUGUUGGUCAUUCUCGCAGCAGUAGCCAAGAAGAGGGACCAUGUUUUCAUGCGUAAUAGCUGAGAGAAGGGUCAACUGUAAUACAAAUUGAUACUACAAGGUUAGUUUGCAAGCUGUGUUAUUUGUUACGCAUGGCUUAACUACAUAUACGUGGAUAAGAUGCACUUAUUGUAGAAGAUGGCAACUGGAGGGUGCAAGCCAAAUCAGGAGGAUAUAACAUAUUGAAAAUGAAGUUUCCUAGAUUGAGUGUGAACUGACUUUACUAUAAUUCCAAUUCUGUGCUUCAAUAGAGGGGAGUGUGGUACAAUCUUUCUUAAGAAUAUCAUACGGAUUUUUCUCUACUCCAGGUAUGUUAAGGCUAAUUCUUCUUUCUUUUGGCAUAAUCCAAGUAACGAUACAUAUACGUAAUGUUAUUCCAUAAGUGGUUCUACUCAUAGCGGUUAAAGAUGUUUAUGUUAUUCAUUACUCGUAGCGGUUAAGGAUGUUUAUGUUAUUCAUUCCGGUAAAGUAGCAUUAAUCAAAGGCAUAAUGGUCUUAGUUUGAAAAUUAAGAAUAUUUUGAUGAAGAACGCUUUACCUCCUCUUACUAGGACACUUAAACUAAAUUGGAAUUAGUCGGCACAACAAGUAGGAGUAUAUGAUUUCAAAUACGGAAUAUGUAAAAUAGACAUCAAAUUGUAACCCUCUAGAGCUUCUAAAUCUGUCUUGUUCCCUUUCCAGACAACCGUCAAUUGAAAAUAACUAUAACUUUUAGUAAAAUUUAUAUAUAUAUAUAUAUAUAUACACACACACAUACUUGGCAGCUAUUAUCUUGGAGAGCAUUUAUACAAUAUAGACAUGACGUUCCGAAAGAUCUUAUUGACGUACUUCUCAUGCGUUUGCAUUCAUUUACAUGUGCAUUUACCUAUGACUCAGACGGCGUUAUAUACGCGUAUAUAUGUAUAUGGGAUAUUGAAAAAGGUUAUGGCGUUAUAUACGCAUCGCCACCUGAUCAACUGGUAUACGUUGAUGAUUUGUCCACAAUGUCCGAGAUGAUAUGAUGGGAUGCCCUCAGAGGCUUGAUGAUGUUAUGAACACAUGUAUGUACGGCAUGACAUACAUACGCAUAUGCAUGAUACUAUGAGUAUUUCAUUAUUUACAGAGUUAUUCCAGUUCUAAAAAAAUAAAAUUUGUUCUCAGGCAGGUUCUUUUAUUCCUAUGGUUUGCCAGUUGAUGUGAUUUCAGAUAUAUGAAUUUUCUUGUUGCAAGAUAACAAAAAAUACAUGGCUGAUAAAGAGAAGAAAUUUACAUGUGCAUUAUAGUAUUGGUAAUUUUUUUUAAAGAAAAGGGAAGUAGUAAUUGUUGAAUAGUAGGUAGAGGAGAUAUAACUUCCAAAAGUUCAAGGAUUGAUUUUAAAAUUUCAGUCUUAUCGUUUAUGGGAUAAGGCCUUUAAUAAAUCACUAUGUUAACAUUGCAGACCGAAUCAAUAAUUUAGGUCUUACGUGUUAGCCAAAAUCAUUUGAAGCUUUAUUCUGCUGUCAAUAGUUCCAUUUCUAAUAUUCUAGAUUAUUUUGCAUAGGCCUGAAUUUUCGUCACAAUAUGUCUUUAGUUAAUGUUGAAUUAUGAUUUUGUUUCAGUUCUGCCUUACAUACUCGGUACAUUAUUCGUACUGACGUCCUUUUGUUGGGGACGUUGCAUUUAUGAUUGCAGGUAUAGAUAAUCAGUUUGACGAGCCCUUAUAGUAGACGAGAUUGGUAUUCAACGAAGGAUCGAUAAAACUCCACCUCAUUCGGAGUGCAGCCGAGUCUAUGAGUCAUCGUGUCAGAAUUUUGCUAGAGACUUAUGGGUAGGCCGGUACCCUGUCCCAUUUUAUGCCAAAUAAUCUUAGAGGCUUUGUAGACAGAGGUUCAUUUUGUACAGUAUGUUAGAGGCCUUGACGGCCCAUAUGUAUUCAUGUUGUAAGAAAAAUGGUUUAGUGAUAUAAUGUUUUCCAACUUAUAAUUGUAUAUUACAGGUUGUGGCCAUGUUGGCCCAUGAUAGCUACGAAAGGAAUGAAUGAG
rnacentral:lncRNA from 1 species